rnacentral:rRNA from 1 species
UACGUAGGGUGCAAGCGUUGUCCGGAAUUAUUGGGCGUAAAGAGCUCGUAGGCGGUCUGUUGCGUCGGCUGUGAAAACCCAGGGCUCAACCCCGGGCCUGCAGCCGAUACGGGCAGACUAGAGUUCGGCAGGGGAGAUUGGAAUUCCUGGUGUAGCGGUGAAAUGCGCAGAUAUCAGGAGGAACACCGGUGGCGAAGGCGGGUCUCUGGGCCGAUACUGACGCUGAGGAGCGAAAGCGUGGGGAGCGAACAGG